AUUGUGUUGGGAAAGGCUCCUGUGUUGUUGAAGCUGCUCAGUUGUGGGUGCAGCCUUGUACCAGGCAGCCCAAUCCUGGUACAAGACCUAAAGUAAAUUCCUAGGAGAAGUCUUUCCUAGGCUGUGAAUUUGCAGUAACAGGUGUGCACAUCCUAGCAGCAGUUUGAUGAUCAUGUAUGAAACUGCAAAUAGGA